rnacentral:rRNA from 1 species
UACAGAGGUCUCGAGCGUUGUUCGGAUUCAUUGGCGUAAAGGGCGCGUAGCGGCGGGGUAAGUCUGGUGUGAAAUCUCGGAGCUCAACUCCGAAAUUGCACUGGAUACUGCUCUGCUAGAGGGCUGGAGAGGAGAUCGGAAUUCACGGUGUAGCAGUGAAAUGCGUAGAUAUCGUGAGGAAGACCAGUGGCGAAGGCGGGUCUCUGGACAGUUCCUGACGCUGAGGCACGAAGGUCAGGGGAGCAAACGGG